rnacentral:rRNA from 1 species
UACAGAGGGUGCGAGCGUUAAUCGGAAUUACUGGGCGUAAAGGGUGCGUAGGUGGUUAAUUAAGUCAGAUGUGAAAUCCCAAGGCUUAACCUUGGAAUGGCAUUUGAUACUGGUUGGCUAGAGUACAGAAGAGGGAAGUGGAAUUUCCGGUGUAGCGGUGAAAUGCGUAGAUAUCGGAAGGAACAUCAGUGGCGAAGGCGACUUCCUGGUCUGUUACUGACACUGAGGCACGAAAGCGUGGGGAGCGAACAGG